CAGCAAAUCCCCCCUCUCGGUGCCCCCCAUGGGGAAACGGAUGGGGUCGGCUGACCCAAAGGAUGGCGGCGGCGAUGUCUGCAUGACAUGGACGGGACAUACAACGUCUCCAGCGCCGAUAACUAGCCCGGGACCUCGCCACCGCCAACCUGCACCAGCAAAUCGCCAUCGAUGCCUACUACCAGGAUCUCGCCGCCUCCCAUUGUACCUGUCCACCACGAGUGGAGUUUCAGCGAACAGCUCCUCCGUUUGUAUCUGUUCAUCACGAGUUCAGCAACGUUACCCCAAAGGCUAAUGGAGAUUUUCAGAUACUUUUACACAAACUCUUGCAUCCAAUCGGCUACACACAGGGACACAUCAAUCAUUCUGUAUUCGAGGGACACAAGUUCCAGGGAAGAAUUGAAGUUCUUAUACAGUUUUGGGUGCAACACUUCUGAAAUGAAAUCAAGUUUCCAAAGGAGGAGUCGUUUUCCUCAUUGUGCUUUAUGAAGUUGCAUAUCGGAUUACAUCCCAAGAUGACCACUGUAGGUAACAUUUCGGUUGUGUAGUUGCCUUAGCCCCUUGUACUAUUUUUCAGAUACCCAAUCGUAAGAAGAUAAUAAUCCUAAUGUUUGUCCAUUCUAAAUCGAUCACUGGUGCAUCUGAAAUUAUUAUGUUCCGGUUUGUGUGACUAAUUAAAAGUAAUACCUCGGGCUAGAUCCUCAUCUGAAAUUGUGCAAAUCGGGAACUGUUGAGACUAAAUCAACUUCGUCUUUGUUUCAAACAAUAGUUUGGCCAUUAUUCACAAAUAGAAGCAGUUGAUGCUAUGUACAUUCAGUCUUAUGAAUGCAACUUUUUGAAAGUUGUAACAGCAAUGAUGAUCUUCCCACCAUUUUUAGUGAUGCAUUUUGUUUUGGGGCAAUUAGACACCUUUUGUAUGAAAUUUAUCACUCGUGUUUAUCUAGCGAUUGUGUUCUUUCUACUCAUUUGCUUACUUACUCUUGGCAUCCUUGGAUUUGAAAAGUUUGGCUCACAGGUUGCACGCCGUGCUAAUGGUCUAGGAAUAUACGUGAUUGCACAUGAUCCAUAUGCUUCUGCUGAUCGUGCUCGACAUGGAUCCAAUAUGUUCUAAUUGAAUAGAUGUCUUAGUCCGAGGCCACGCCACCAACCUCCAAUAGGUGAUACCCUCCUCACCUCUGACCUUAUUCGUGUCAUCCUCCUCGGAGACAGGACCAGUGCUACCUCAUACGUUGCUGAAAGCCCAAAACUGGUCGUUCCGCGGCAUCUUCGUCGCACACGGCGUACAUGAUUCCUUUGACAUGGCUUCCUGGACUAAUUGGUAUUUGUUGAUGAAUCUGAAUUUCAGCGGACAUCUCGGUCGGAAGAAUUCAAGCCCCUAUUUGUUGAUCAAAGAUGGAAUUCUUCAGUGAAUUUGGUGAUGCUAAUAGAAAAAUAAUUCAUGAAGCCAUUGUCAGAGGGAGUUACAAGGUUGCAGUAAAGAAGACCUGCAAUACCUUUGAGCACUUAUCUGAUGCUGCCCGGAUUCUCUGUGAGAUCAAAUUGCACCGGCUAUUGAGAUAUCCUGACAUAGUUGAGAUCAGGCAAAUAAUGUUACCUCCAUUGAGGAGGUGCUUCAGGGAUAUUUAUGUUCUUUUUAACUUGAUGGAUGCAGACCUCCACAAAGUCAUAAAGGUUAAUAAUGAAUUAACCAAAGAGCACCAUCUAUUCUCUCGAUCUGAUGCUAUGCGCACUGAAAUUU